rnacentral:rRNA from 1 species
CCUACGGGUGGCAGCAGUGGGGAAUAUUGGACAAUGGGCGAAAGCCUGAUCCAGCCAUGCCGCGUGUGUGAAGAAGGCCUUCGGGUUGUAAAGCACUUUCAGUGGGGAAGAAAGCCUUGGGGCUAAUCCCCUCGAGGAAGGACAUCACCCACAGAAGAAGCACCGGCUAACUCCGUGCCAGCAGCCGCGGUAAUACGGAGGGUGCGAGCGUUAAUCGGAAUUACUGGGCGUAAAGCGCGCGUAGGCGGUCUGAUAAGCCGGUUGUGAAAGCCCCGGGCUCAACCUGGGAACGGCAUCCGGAACUGUCAGGCUAGAGUGCAGGAGAGGAAGGUAGAAUUCCCGGUGUAGCGGUGAAAUGCGUAGAGUUCGGGAGGAAUACCAGUGGCGAAGGCGGCCUUCUGGACUGACACUGACGCUGAGGUGCGAAAGCGUGGGUAGCAAACAGGAUUAGAUACCCGAGUAGUC